ensembl:lncRNA
UAUUCCAGGAACGAGGCCAGGUUCUGAUGUUCCCCUCUUCUUUCUCUCCCCUCUGCCCCUUUUCUAGCACUCCUGAUCACUGUUGUGGCCGCAGCAGGGACCACCCUGUGGGUCUCCAGAAGAGGCAAGUGCCUCCUUGCCCAGUUGCCCCCCAAAGCAACUUUCAAGCAGCUAAUCCUAGUCGAGCACCUUUGAGAUCGGCCGGCCAGCCAGGCAGUUGCUCCUUGCUCCCUCCUGCAAAGGGCUCCGUCCCGGCCCUCCCAGGAAGGAACUCCUUGGGCCUGGAAGGCUGGCAGCCCUGCUGGGACUCCUUGCAGGAGCCGAGACACAGAAGCCACACGGCCUGCAGGCCCUCGACGGAAUCCACCUCCUAUGGGGGGAAAUUAAAAUGGAUUUCACACUUAAAAUACACCUGGGUGUCUCGUGGCCUGCUUGGGCCUGUCCUUCCACAGCAGCUCUGGCGUGCCCUCUCCCCCAGAAGCCCCUCCGCCCAGACUCUGAGGAGCGGCUCCAAGCAAAAUGCCUCGCUCGGACCAGGCCCUCAGCCGGGCUCCUUCCGGCACAUGGAUCCCAGCUCCCUUUCUCGGGGUGCUGCUGCUGGGGGGGGUGGUGACUACUUUCUCCUGUUGGGGGUUCCCCUGCCAGGGCAAGAGCUCUGCAGAGGCCGUGGGUGCUCCGUCUGUGGAGGUCUUCAAGAAGUGGCCGGACUGCCGUCUGCCGGGGGGUUCCUGCUUGAGCAGGGGGUUGGGCUAGAGGACCUCCAGGGUCUCUUCCGGCCCUGUUAAUUCUGUUAUUCUCAACUUCUGGAGGUUUGGGAAGGGCUGACGGAUUCUUACUCCCUNCCCCCCCCCGACAAAAAGUGGGUUUUGGCUGCUCCCAGGGCUUUUCCUGUUGUGCUGCCCUCUGCCUGGUGGUGGAGAUUGCCGCUUCCUUAAAUUGCGUGGUAGUUGAGAAUGUGAGCUGUUUGAGGGCAGGAAAGCCCCACACACACACACACACACACACAUUUUCCCCCAUGUCUUGUCCAGCUUGGGGGCCCUGCUUGCGCAACCCUGGGGUCAACCCUCUGUCUUGAGUGUGAGCAUUAAAAAUCAUUUCCCAACCUUUAUGGGCACCUGGCUUCUUUUGUCCUCCUGGCAUCUCCCCAUCACCACUCAUUAAAGUGCCCCCUCCCCACCCCUUCUUCAGACCCCUCCUCUUUUCAUCUUUACUCCCAUCCUGCCUUUCAGGGCCGUCUUCCCCUCCUGGUCCAAGAGCUCACCCUCACACCAGCCUUGAGGAGGGCCCCAACCAGAAACGCUGCUGUUCUCUGGGACAUCUUCAAAAGGCCGAGGGUCUGCAGCCGUGGGAAAUCCUGCCAGCCCCCACCCACCUUUGAAGGACUAGCCAUGGUCCAGCCACCCGCCCACCACCCAUUUUGUGAGCCCAGGUAAAGGUGGCACCACCUUUGAGCAUCUAAAGCAGGGGUCUCCAACCUUGGCCACUUUAAGCCUGGAGGACUUCAACUGGCUGGGGAAUUCUGAGAGUUGAAGUCCUCCAGGCUUAAAGUGGCCAAGAUUGGAGACCCCUGAUCGAAAGCAGAGACAGGCAACCACGUCAACAUUACAACCUGUGGACUUCCCAGAAUGCCUGAGCCGGCAUGGUUCGCCCUGGUGGACACGCCCAGGUGGUAAGGUUGACAUGGGUGCCCUCCCCUGGGUCUCGAAGUCCUUCAAAAAGGAAAAACCCACUAAGGGUUGAGAUCAGAGCAGCCCACCCCAACCGCCCAGAUUAGCUCCUUAGGUUGACAUUUUAAGAGCACAAUCUGAUUAAUGCUGUAAGGAGCUCAGGAGCAGCUGCUUCCACCUCCAUCCAGUCCCAUCACUGGGACUCAGUGGCUUUGCGGGGCUCAGCUGGCUGGCGGCACCUGAGCUCCAGCGGAGCUGCUAAGAGCAACCCGGAGGCUCCUCGGCAGUCAGCAGAACUCCAGCUCUCCCCUCAAGGCAUCGGCCACGGAUGGUGGCCACAAG